GCCUGGAUAGUUCAGUUGGUUAGAGCAUGGUGCUGAUAAUGUCAAGAUUGCGGGUUUGAUCCUAGUAUGGGACA